rnacentral:rRNA from 1 species
GUGGGGAAUAUUGGGCAAUGGGGGAAACCCUGACCCAGCAACGCCGCGUGAAGGAAGAAGGCUUUCGGGUUGUAAACUUCUUUUAUGAGGGACGAAGAAGUGACGGUACCUCAUGAAUAAGCCACGGCUAACUACGUGCCAGCAGCCGCGGUAAUACGUAGGUGGCAAGCGUUGUCCGGAUUUACUGGGUGUAAAGGGCGCGUAGGCGGGAUAGCAAGUCAGGUGUGAAAUCCGGGGGCUUAACCCUCGAACUGCACUUGAAACUGUUAUUCUUGAGUGAUGGAGAGGCAAGCGGAAUUCCUAGUGUAGCGGUGAAAUGCGUAGAUAUUAGGAGGAACACCAGUGGCGAAGGCGGCUUGCUGGACAUUAACUGACGCUGAGGCGCGAAAGCGUGGGGAGCAAACAGGAUUAGAAACCCCAGUAGUCC